AGCGUUCGGGUGAUUUGAACCCUCGCGCGCAAUGAAAGUGAACGGAGGUGGGAGCCUUAAUCGGUGCACCAUCGACCGAUCCUGAUGUCUUCGGAUGGAUUUGAGUACGAGCGUGGCUGUUGGGACCCGAAAGAUGGUGAACUUUGCAUGGAUAGGGUGAAGCCAGAGGAAACUCUGGUGGAGGCUCGCAGCGGUUCUGACGUGCAAAUCGAUCGUCAAAUCAGUGCAAAGGGGCGAAAGACUAAUCGAACCGUCUAGUAGCUGGUUCCUGCCGAAGUUUCCCUCAGGAUAGCAGUAACGAACCCAGUUUUAUGAGGUAGAGCGAAUGAUUAGAGGCCUUGGGGCUGAAACAGCCUUAACCUAUUCUCAAACUUCGAAUAUGUAAGAAGUCCUUGUUGCUUUGUUGAACGUGGACGCUCGAAUGUACCGUUACUAGUGGGCCAUUUUUGGUAAGCAGAACUGGCGAUGCGGGAUGAACCGAACGCGAGGUUAAGGUGCCGGAAUGCACGCUCAUCAGACACCACAAAAGGUGUUAGUUCAUCCAGACAGCAGGACGGUGGCCAUGGAAGUCGGAACCCGCUAAGGAGUGUGUAACAACUCACCUGCCGAAUGAACUAGCCCUGAAAAUGGAUGGCGCUCAAGCGUGCUACCCAUACCUCGCCGCCGGGGCAGGAUCGAAGCCCCGGCGAGUAGGCAGGCGCGGCGGUCGGUGACGAA
rnacentral:rRNA from 1 species